UACGUAGGGAGCAAGCGUUGUCCGGAAUCAUUGGGCGUAAAGAGCGUGUAGGCGGCCCGGUAAGUCCGCUGUGAAAGUCGGGGGCUCAACCCUCGAAUGCCGGUGGAUACUGUCGGGCUAGAGUGCGGAAGAGGCGAGUGGAAUUCCUGGUGUAGCGGUGAAAUGCGCAGAUAUCAGGAGGAACACCGAUUGCGAAGGCAGCUCGCUGGGACGUUACUGACGCUGAGACGCGAAAGCGUGGGGAGCAAACAGG
rnacentral:rRNA from 1 species